AUUCAACUGUUAGGCGAACUGGAUAAGUUUCGAAGGAAUUUGCAUCAAAACGGCAGGUUUUCAGUCAAAUCCUUGUGCGAAGCGAUGGUUCAUUGUGAUGUUCCGAUGGAUAACAAGAAAUUGUGGAAGCUCAAAAUUCCUCUAAGAGUGAAGAUUUUCCUUUGGUUUCUAAACAGAGGGGUUAGCUUGACUAGAGAUAACCUGGCACAAUGUAAUUUGUAGGGUAGCAAGACAUGUGUCUUCUGUCAACAUGACGAGUCCAUUAAACACUUAUGUUUUGAGUGUAAGUUCGCUCGUGUAGUCUGGGCCAUAGUUCAAGUAGCUUUAAAUCUAUAUCCCCCAUGUAGUGCACGUAACAUUUUCGACAAUUGGUGGUGGGGUAUUGAUAAACAAUUUUCUGCACAUAUCCUUGUGGGGGAAGCUGCCUUAUACUGGGCACUGUGGCUUACCAGGAAUGAUGUGGUUUUUAACAAUAAAUGUGUUUCUUCUCCUGUGCAGGUUAUCCAUGCAUGUACGCAAUGGCUCUAUACUUGGUCUAUCCUUCAGAGGCCGGAGGACAGAGACAUUUUUACGAUGACGUCUACACAGCUGGAGCAUACGACCAGGGAGGUUCUCCCUCGAUGGAUGGCGGUGUAA
rnacentral:rRNA from 1 species